rnacentral:rRNA from 1 species
AUUGAACGCUGGCGGCAGGCCUAACACAUGCAAGUCGAGCGAGCGGCGGACGGGUGAGUAAUGUAUGGGGACUGCCCGAUAGAGGGGGAUAACUACUGGAAACGGUGGCUAAUACCGCAUACUAUCGGAUAACCCAUAUGGGAUUAGCUAGUGGGUGGGGUAAAGGCUCACCAAGGCGACGAUGUCUAGCUGGUCUGAGAGGAUAAUCAGCCACACUGGAAGUGAGACACGGCCCAGACUCCUACGGAAGCAGCAGUAGUGAAUAUAGCACAAUGGGCGCAAGCCUGAUGCAGCUAGGCCGCGAGUAUGAAGAAGGCCUUAGGGUUGUAAAGCACUUUCGGCGGGGAGGCGUUACCCGCAGAAGAAGCACCGGCUAACUCCGUGCCAGCAGCCGCGGUAAUUC